GCUGGGCGCAGUGGCAUGUGCCUGUAGUCCCAGCUACUUGGGAGGCUGAGGCUGGAGGAUCUCUUGAGUCCAGGAGUUCUGAGCUGUAGUGUGCUAUGCUGAUCAGGUGUCCGCAUUAAGUUCAGCAUCAAUAUGGUGACCUCCCGGGAGCAGGGGACCACCAGGUUGCCUAAGGAGGGGUGAACCAGCCCAGGUCAGAAAUGGAGCAGGUUAAAACUCCUGUGCUGAUCAGUAGUGGAAUUGUGCCUGUGAAUAGCCACUGCACUCCAGCCUGGGCAACAUAGCGAGACCCCCCAUCUC
ensembl:misc_RNA Metazoa_SRP Metazoan signal recognition particle RNA